UACAGAGGGGGCAAGCGUUGUUCGGAAUUACUGGGCGUAAAGGGCGUGUAGGCGGCCUGCUGAGUCGAAUGUGAAAUCCCUGGGCUCAACCCAGGAACUGCGUCCGAUACUGAAAGGCUUGAAUCCGGGAGAGGGAUGCGGAAUUCCUGGUGUAGCGGUGAAAUGCGCAGAUAUCAGGAGGAACACCGAUGGCGAAGGCAGGUCUCUGGGCAUUAACUGACGCUGAGGAGCGAAAGCAUGGGGAGCGAACAGG
rnacentral:rRNA from 1 species